UCAAGAUGAAAGUCUAUGGCUACGCCCCAGGCUAUGUAAUAAAGACCAGACAGGCUCUGAGGUAGAUCGAGCCGCUAAUACCACACCAAUUAACUUGUAAAAGAAAAAAAGAAAAAUGGUGUUAGGAUACCCCCUACUGGUUGUUAUCGGAUUUUACGCUGAGUUCUAAGGAGCCGCCCCCCCACACUACGAAUUGUUAAAAAGCUAAAGUUGUACAACGUUCAUUAGACCUACCUGUAACUCUAUCUUCACCGUGUACAACGUUCAUUAUCUCAUCAAUCGUCUGAACAAUGGCUGACAAUUACGAUGGUAAGUGUGUUUUUCAUCAUUGUUAUUUAAAUAUAUUUAAACGUGAAUAUUUGUUUAACACCCUGUGUUUAUAAUCUCUAGGUACUUUUGAGAAUCUGGAUUUCGACGAAGGUUUGGAACAGAUCCUUGAAGAGCUAUUUGACGAGGCCCAAUUAGUUACCUGUGAUGAUGACUGCGAAGUUAAUAACGGUGAACACGUUGGUUCUGACAGCCACAUGGUAAUAUUACCUACAGAGGAGGCGUUGCAAGAGGUUGUAGUUAG